rfam:Sorghum bicolor cultivar BTx623 chromosome 6, whole genome shotgun sequence.
GUAGUCGGAUUCGCAUCAAUCCACAUAUAUUGGAUUGGAUUGGAUUGGAGUGGAAUUUAAACUAAAUUCCACUCCAAUCCACUCCAACACAUGUGGAUUGAGGUGAAUCCGACA